AGCGAACGCUGGCGGCAGGCCUAACACAUGCAAGUCGAACGAAGUCUUCGGACUAAGUGGCGGACGGGUGAGUAACACGUGGGAACGUGCCCUUUGGUACGGAAUAACUCAGGGAAACUUGAGCUAAUACCGUAUGUGCCCUUCGGGGGAAAGAUUUAUCGCCAUUGGAGCGGCCCGCGUCUGAUUAGCUAGUUGGUGAGGUAAAGGCUCACCAAGGCGACGAUCAGUAGCUGGUCUGAGAGGAUGAUCAGCCACACUGGGACUGAGACACGGCCCAGACUCCUACGGGAGGCAGCAGUGGGGAAUCUUGCGCAAUGGGCGAAAGCCUGACGCAGCCAUGCCGCGUGAAUGAUGAAGGUCUUAGGAUUGUAAAAUUCUUUCACCGGGGACGAUAAUGACGGUACCCGGAGAAGAAGCCCCGGCUAACUUCGUGCCAGCCGCCGCAGUAAGAC
rnacentral:rRNA from 1 species